rnacentral:rRNA from 1 species
GACGAACGCUGGCGGCGUGCUUAACACAUGCAAGUCGAACGAUGAAGCUAGAGCUUGCUCUGGUGGAUUAGUGGCGAACGGGUGAGUAACACGUGAGUAACCUGCCCCGAACUCUGGGAUAACUGCUGGAAACGGUAGCUAAUACCGGAUAUGACCAAUGAAGGCAUCUUCUGUUGGUGGAAAGAAUUUCGGUUCGGGAUGGACUCGCGGCCUAUCAGCUUGUUGGUGAGGUAACGGCUCACCAAGGCGACGACGGGUAGCCGGCCUGAGAGGGUGAUCGGCCACACUGGGACUGAGACACGGGCCAGACGCCUGCGGGAGGCAGCAGUGGGGAAGAUUGCACAACGGGCGCAAGCCUGAUGCAGCAACGCCGCGGGAGGGACGACGGCCUUCGGGUUGUAAACCUCUUUUAGUAGGGAAGAAGCGAAAGUGACGGUACCUGCAGAAAAAGCACCGGCUAACUACGUGCCAGCCGCCGCCGUAA